GACGAACGCUGGCGGCGUGCCUAAUACAUGCAAGUCGAACGAACUCUGGUAUUGAUUGGUGCUUGCAUCAUGAUUUACAUUUGAGUGAGUGGCGAACUGGUGAGUAACACGUGGGAAACCUGCCCAGAAGCGGGGGAUAACACCUGGAAACAGAUGCUAAUACCGCAUAACAACUUGGACCGCAUGGUCCGAGUUUGAAAGAUGGCUUCGGCUAUCACUUUUGGAUGGUCCCGCGGCGUAUUAGCUAGAUGGUGGGGUAACGGCUCACCAUGGCAAUGAUACGUAGCCGACCUGAGAGGGUAAUCGGCCACAUUGGGACUGAGACACGGCCCAAACUCCUACGGGAGGCAGCAGUAGGGAAUCUUCCACAAUGGACGAAAGUCUGAUGGAGCAACGCCGCGUGAGUGAAGAAGGGUUUCGGCUCGUAAAACUCUGUUGUUAAAGAAGAACAUAUCUGAGAGUAACUGUUCAGGUAUUGACGGUAUUUAACCAGAAAGCCACGGCUAACUACGUGCCAGCAGCCGCGGUAAUACGUAGGUGGCAAGCGUUGUCCGGAUUUAUUGGGCGUAAAGCGAGCGCAGGCGGUUUUUUAAGUCUGAUGUGAAAGCCUUCGGCUCAACCGAAGAAGUGCAUCGGAAACUGGGAAACUUGAGUGCAGAAGAGGACAGUGGAACUCCAUGUGUAGCGGUGAAAUGCGUAGAUAUAUGGAAGAACACCAGUGGCGAAGGCGGCUGUCUGGUCUGUAACUGACGCUGAGGCUCGAAAGUAUGGGUAGCAAACAGGAUUAGAUACCCUGGUAGUCCAUACCGUAAACGAUGAAUGCUAAGUGUUGGAGGGUUUCCGCCCUUCAGUGCUGCAGCUAACGCAUUAAGCAUUCCGCCUGGGGAGUACGGCCGCAAGGCUGAAACUCAAAGGAAUUGACGGGGGCCCGCACAAGCGGUGGAGCAUGUGGUUUAAUUCGAAGCUACGCGAAGAACCUUACCAGGUCUUGACAUACUAUGCAAAUCUAAGAGAUUAGACGUUCCCUUCGGGGACAUGGAUACAGGUGGUGCAUGGUUGUCGUCAGCUCGUGUCGUGAGAUGUUGGGUUAAGUCCCGCAACGAGCGCAACCCUUAUUAUCAGUUGCCAGCAUUAAGUUGGGCACUCUGGUGAGACUGCCGGUGACAAACCGGAGGAAGGUGGGGAUGACGUCAAAUCAUCAUGCCCCUUAUGACCUGGGCUACACACGUGCUACAAUGGAUGGUACAACGAGUUGCGAACUCGCGAGAGUAAGCUAAUCUCUUAAAGCCAUUCUCAGUUCGGAUUGUAGGCUGCAACUCGCCUACAUGGAGUCGGAAUCGCUAGUAAUCGCGGAUCAGCAUGCCGCGGUGAAUACGUUCCCGGGCCUUGUACACACCGCCCGUCACACCAUGAGAGUUUGUAACACCCAAAGUCGGUGGGGUAACCUUUUAGGAACCAGCCGCCUAAGGUGGGACAGAUGAUUAGGGUG
rnacentral:rRNA from 1 species